UUGUCAACUUCCCUGACUUUCAGGUUGUUCCUUGGUAACACAGGAGGGUAUUGCUUCUGGUGAAAACUGAGGAAUUUGAUAGAAAGUUCUUCAGGUUCUGUAGUGUUUAUAAGUCACUAAUGAGUUGUACAUUAAAAAAGGGAACCAUCUGAUCAUUUAUGGAUGUGAUUCUUAAUCUCCAAGGAACAUUCAUGAUCUCUUGUCAAAGACCUAUUAAUGUCUUGAGAAGAACAUUCCAAUUUCUACUUUUUAUUUCCCUCCCUUCCCCCAUAGCCAUACCUUCUCAACUGCACUUGGCUUAAGUUCCAAUUGAAGGGGCUACUUCACUUUUCUGAAGAGCCAUUGAGAGCUGUUCUGAUAGCGGAUGUGAGUGAGAAACCAGGAACCCUGAAAGGCCAGUGAUGGAAUGACCUAAAACCAAGAUUCCAUCUGGAAGAAGGAGUAAAAUAUGGAAAAGUGCAAAGAUCUUCUGGUGUCAACUCAUGCAGAUUUAGUGCUAGAAUGGACUGAAAUCUAUCAGGAAAACAAACCAUUUUCAUUCCCUCUCUUCUUCUUCCCUUCUCUGUUGCCUUGGUGGGAUCCUCAGUCCAUCAUCUCUACAUCAAGUUUUGUGCCUUCAACUAUUGCCUGUGAUGGAGUAGUCAAACUAAAUAAAAUAUUGGAAAAUCCUUAUCUAUGAAUA